rnacentral:rRNA from 1 species
AUUGAACGCUGGCGGCAGGCCUAACACAUGCAAGUCGAACGAGUGGCGGACGGGUGAGUAAUGUAUGGGAAUCUGCCAGAUGGAGGGGGAUAACUACUGGAAACGGUAGCUAAUACCGCAUACUAUCAGAUGUGCCCAUAUGGGAUUAGCUUGUUGGGGGGGUAAAGGCUCACCAAGGCGAAGAUCCCUAGCUGGUCUGAGAGGAUGACCAGCCAAACUGGAACUGAGACACGGCCCAGACUCCUACGGUAGGCAGCAGUGGGGAAUAUUGCACAAUGGGCGCAAGCCUGAUGCAGCCAGGCCGCGUGUAUGAAGAAGGACUUCGGGUUGUAAAGUACUUUCAGCGGGGAGGCGUUACCCGCAGAAGAAGCACCGGCUAACUCCGUGCCAGCAGCCGCGGUAAUAC